GAUGAACGCUGGCGGCGUGCCUAAUACAUGCAAGUCGAGCGAACGGACGAGAAGCUUGCUUCUCUGAUGUUAGCGGCGGACGGGUGAGUAACACGUGGAUAACCUACCUAUAAGACUGGGAUAACUUCGGGAAACCGGAGCUAAUACCGGAUAAUAUUUUGAACCGCAUGGUUCAAAAUUGAAAGACGGUCUUGCUGUCUCUUAUAGAUUGAUCCGCUCUGCAUUAGCUAGUUGGUAAGGUAACGGCUUACCAAGGCAACGAUGCAUAGCCGACCUGAGAGGGGGAUCGGCCACACGGGAACUGAGACACGGUCCAGACUACGACGGGAGGCAGCAGUAGGGAAUCUUCCGAAAUGGGCGAAAGCAUGACGGAGCAACGCCGCGUGAGUGAUGAAGGUCUUCGGAUCGUAAAACUCUGUUAUGAGGGAAGAACAUAUGUGUAAGUAAAUGUGCACAGCUUGACGGUAACUAAUCAGAAAGCCACGGCUAACUACGUG
rnacentral:rRNA from 1 species